CUACAACGGAGAGUUUGAUCCUGGCUCAGGAUGAACGCUGGCGGCGUGCUUAACACAUGCAAGUCGAACGAACCUUCGGGUUAGUGGCGGACGGGUGAGUAACGCGUGGGAAUCUGCCCUCAGGAGGGGGAUAACGGCUGGAAACGGCCGCUAAUACCCCAUAUGCCGAGAGGUGAAAUGAAUUUCGCCUGAGGAUGAGCCCGCGUCUGAUUAGCUAGUUGGUGAGGUAAGAGCUCACCAAGGCAUCGAUCAGUAGCUGGUCUGAGAGGAUGAUCAGCCACACUGGGACUGAGACACGGCCCAGACUCCUACGGGAGGCAGCAGUGGGGAAUUUUCCGCAAUGGGCGAAAGCCUGACGGAGCAACGCCGCGUGAGGGAUGAAGGCCUCUGGGCUGUAAACCUCUUUUCUCAAGGAAGAAGAUCUGACGGUACUUGAGGAAUAAGCCACGGCUAAUUCCGUGCCAGCAGCCGCGGUAAUACGGGAGUGGCAAGCGUUAUCCGGAAUUAUUGGGCGUAAAGCGUCCGCAGGCGGCCCUUCAAGUCUGCUGUUAAAAAGUGGAGCUUAACUCCAUCAUGGCAGUGGAAACUGUUGGGCUUGAGUGUGGUAGGGGCAGAGGGAAUUCCCGGUGUAGCGGUGAAAUGCGUAGAUAUCGGGAAGAACACCAGUGGCGAAGGCGCUCUGCUGGGCCAUAACUGACGCUCAUGGACGAAAGCCAGGGGAGCGAAAGGGAUUAGAUACCCCUGUAGUCCUGGCCGUAAACGAUGAACACUAGGUGUCGGGGGAAUCGACCCCCUCGGUGUCGUAGCCAACGCGUUAAGUGUUCCGCCUGGGGAGUACGCACGCAAGUGUGAAACUCAAAGGAAUUGACGGGGGCCCGCACAAGCGGUGGAGUAUGUGGUUUAAUUCGAUGCAACGCGAAGAACCUUACCAGGGUUUGACAUCCUGCGAACCUCUUGGAAACGAGAGGGUGCCUUCGGGAACGCAGUGACAGGUGGUGCAUGGCUGUCGUCAGCUCGUGUCGUGAGAUGUUGGGUUAAGUCCCGCAACGAGCGCAACCCACGUCUUUAGUUGCCAGCAUUUAGUUGGGCACUCUAGAGAGACCGCCGGUGAUAAACCGGAGGAAGGUGUGGAUGACGUCAAGUCAUCAUGCCCCUUACAUCCUGGGCUACACACGUACUACAAUGCUACGGACAAAGAGCAGCAAGUUCGCGAGGACAAGCAAAUCUCAUAAACCGUGGCUCAGUUCAGAUCGUAGGCUGCAACUCGCCUACGUGAAGGAGGAAUCGCUAGUAAUCGCAGGUCAGCAUACUGCGGUGAAUACGUUCCCGGGCCUUGUACACACCGCCCGUCACACCAUGGAAGUUGGCCACGCCCGAAGCCGUUACUCCAACCCUCGGGAGGAGGACGUCGAAGGUGGGGCUGAUGACUGGGGUGAAGUCGUAACAAGGUAGCCGUACCGGAAGGUGCGGCUGGAUCACCUCCU
rnacentral:rRNA from 1 species